rnacentral:rRNA from 1 species
AACGAACGCUGGCGGCAGGCUUAACACAUGCAAGUCGAGCGCCCCGCAAGGGGAGCGGCAGACGGGUGAGUAACGCGUGGGAAUCUACCCAUCUCUACGGAAUAACGCAUGGAAACGUGUGCUAAUACCGUAUACGUCCUUCGGGAGAAAGAUUUAUCGGAGAUGGAUGAGCCCGCGUUGGAGUAGCUAGUUGGUGGGGUAAAGGCCUAGCAAGGCGACGAUCCAUAGCUGGUCUGAGAGGAUGAUCGGCCACACUGGGACUGAGACACGGCCCAGACUCCUACGGGAGGCAGCAGUGGGGAAUAUUGGACAAUGGGCGCAAGCCUGAUCCAGCCAUGCCGCGUGAGUGAUGAAGGCCCUAGGGUUGUAAAGCUCUUUCACCGGUGAAGAUAAUGACGGUAACCGGAGAAGAAGCCCCGGCUAACUUCGUGCCAGCCGCCGCGGUAAAAC